rnacentral:rRNA from 1 species
AUACGUAGGUGACAAGCGUUAUCCGGAUUUACUGGGCGUAAAGGGCGUGUAGGCGGUCUUGCAAGUCAGAAGUGAAAUUCCUGAGCUCAACUCGGGCGCUGCUUCUGAAACUGCAGGACUUGAGUGCUGGAGGGGAUAGCGGAAUUCCUAGUGGAGCGGUAAAAUGCGCAGAUAUUAGGAAGAACACCGGUGGCGAAGGCGUCUAUCUGGACAGUAACGGACGUUAGGGCGCGAAAGCGGGGUGAGCAAACAGGAUUAGAUACCCUGUGAGUCCACGCCGUAAACGAUGAAUACUAGGUGUAGGGGGUAUCGACUCCCUCUGUGCCGCAGUUAACACAAUAAGUAUUCCGCCUGGGGAGUACGGCCGAAAGGUUGAAACUCAAGGAAUUGACGGGG